rnacentral:lncRNA from 1 species
GCCUCCGGUGGAGGGCGGGGACCCUCGGAAGCCAGCUGGGUGACGAUCGCUUGUCUGCCUUGGCAGGCCCCUUGUGCAGUCUUUUCCCGGCGUGAGCGUGCAGGGAUUGAAAAGGAAUGCUUUUUGGUUCAGCAGAGAGCCACCACGCAGGAUGCACUGGGACCUGAGAACCGUCGGGCAGUCCCACGAGCUCUUUCAUGACCAGCUCCAACCGACAAGUACACGCCCCUUCUCGCACUCCACUAGCUAGUAAGCUGAGCUACAAGGUGUGCCAGGCACCCAGGACGCCGAUUCACCGCUUCAGACUGAAUUUUUCCACCACCUGGAUGAACAUAGCAGAAAGAACAUAGUGUUUUAGAGUCAGACACAAUAGGAAUCAGGCACUUUGGAAUCUUGGCUCUGCCACCUUUGAGCUAUCCCAAGAGCCCUCUUUCUUCCAUUCACUUACUUGUCUAGUCAAACACCCAUCAGACCUUUGCCAGGUGUCCAGCCUGGGCACUACGUUUCAGAAAAUGAUGCACAUAGAAUCCCUAACUGAAAGGAGAUCGCAGCUCAUUUGGUACAAAGUGGCUGAUUCUUUGACUGGUGAGCCACUCCCCAGGCAGGCAUAGCAUCACAGAGUUUCUGAGAAGGUACACCCUGGAUGCAAAGCGGUGUUGCUGAAAGACUCCAUGCCAGGGUUCUGGAGUCCAGAAGUCCAAAAUCAAAGGCUGUGCUCUCUUAGAAGGCUCGAGGAGAGAAUCCUUCAAUGCCCCUUCCAGAUUCUGGUGGCUCCAGGUAACGGCAGAGUCCCAAAACACAUGAAGCAAGAACUGACAGAACUGGAGGGAGACAUCAAUCAAUAACAACAGUUGGAGAAUUCAAUACCCUGCUCUGAAUAAUGGAUAGAACAAUUAGGCAGAAGACCAACAAAGAAAGUGGAUAUUUGAACAACGUGAUAAGCCAAUUUGACCUAAUAAAUAUCUUUAUCUGUGAAACACCCUAGCUUUUAGCCUGGGUAAGGAGCUGGAGAGAUGUGAAAAUGUGGAAAGCAAGCCUAAAUCGCAGUGUGGCCUAUGCCUGAGAGCCAUCUUCAGUGCCCCCUUGUGGCUGUAUCUGGGAACCACAGACAGAAUCAUGGAACUGACCAUCUUCAGUCUCAAAGGGCUGCCCUCACCACUACACCCAAGGGCAGGUGGUCUUCGGGGGAAA